rnacentral:rRNA from 1 species
ACCAGACUCCUACGGGAGGCAGCAGUGGGGAAUAUUGGGCAAUGGGCGAAAGCCUGACCCAGCAACGCUGCGUGAAGGAAGAAGGCUUUCGGGUUGUAAACUUCUUUUGACAGGGAAGAGCAGAAGACGGUACCUGUCGAAUAAGCCACGGCUAACUACGUACCAGCAGCCGCGGUAAUACGUAGGUGGCAAGCGUUGUCCGGAUUUACUGGGUGUAAAGGGCGUGUAGCCGGGCUGACAAGUCAGAUGUGAAAUCCGGGGGCUCAACCCCCGAACUGCAUUUGAAACUGUUGGUCUUGAGUAUCGGAGAGGCAGGCGGAAUUCCUAGUGUAGCGGUGAAAUGCGUAGAUAUUAGGAGGAACAUCAGUGGCGAAGGCGACUAUCUGGCACAUAACUGACGCUGAGGAGCGAAAGCGUGGGUAGCAAACAGGAUUAGAUACCCGAGUA